rnacentral:rRNA from 1 species
UACGUAGGGGCCAAGCGUUGUCCGGAUUUAUUGGGCGUAAAGAGCUCGUAGGCGGUUCGGCAAGUCAGCUGUGAAAUCUCCACGCUCAACGUGGAGGGGUCAGCUGAUACUGCUGUGACUCGAGUCCGGUAGGGGAGUGUGGAAUUCCCGGUGUAGCGGUGAAAUGCGCAGAUAUCGGGAGGAACACCAGUAGCGAAGGCGGCACUCUGGGCCGGUACUGACGCUGAGCUGCGAAAGCUAGGGGAGCAAACAGG